rnacentral:rRNA from 1 species
UACAGAGGUCUCAAGCGUUGUUCGGAUUCAUUGGGCGUAAAGGGUGCGUAGGUGGCGCUGUAAGUCAGGUGUGAAAUUUCGGAGCUUAACUCCGAAACUGCAUUGAUACUGCGGUGCUUGAGGACUGGAGAGGAGACUGGAAUUCACGGUGUAGCAGUGAAAUGCGUAGAGAUCGUGAGGAAGACCAGUGGCGAAGGCGGGUCUCUGGACAGUUCCUGACACUGAGGCACGAAGGCCAGGGGAGCAAACGGG